rnacentral:misc_RNA from 1 species
GAAAUGCGAUAAGUAGUGUGAAUUGCAGAAUUUAGCGAAUCAUCGAAUCUUUGAACGCACAUUGCGCCCCUUGGUAUUCCAUGGGGCAUGCCUGUUCGAGCGUCAUUUCAACCCUCAAGCACUGCUUGGUGUUGGGCGUUUGUCCCGCCUACGCGCGUGGACUCGCCUCAAAGUCAUUGGCAGCUGUUCCCCUUCGGCUCGUAAGCGCAGCACAGUCGGCGCCCGGAGCUCUGGUGGGAUGGCGUCCAGCAAACUAUAUUUUCAGGCUUGACCUCGGAUCAGGUAGGGAUACCCGCUGAACUUAAGC